rnacentral:rRNA from 1 species
GACGAACGCUGGCGGCGUGCCUAAUACAUGCAAGUCGAACGCAGUGGGGAUGGUUGAGUAACACGUGGGUAACCUCCCGUCAGAGGGGAUAACACUUGGAAACAGGUGCUAAACCGAUACUGAUGGAUGGACUCGGGGUGCAUUAGCUAGUCGGUGAGGUAACGGCUCACCAAGGCGACGAUGCAUAGCGGGCCUGAGAGGGGGAUCGGCCAAACUGGGACUGAGACACGGCCCAGACUCCUACGGGAGGCAGCAGUAGGGAAUCUUCGGCAAUGGGCGAAAGCCUGACCGAGCAACGCCGCGUGUAGGAAGAAGGUUUUCGGGUCGUAAAGCUCUUUUGGUGGGGAGGCGGUAUCUAAAGAAGAAGCCACGGCUAACUACGUGCCAGCAGCCGCGGUAAUAC